GACGAACGCUGGCGGCGUGCCUAAUACAUGCAAGUCGAGCGGAACUGGGGGAGCUUGCUCCUUCCAGUUCAGCGGCGGACGGGUGAGUAACACGUGGGCAACCUGCCCUGCAGAUCGGGAUAACUCCGGGAAACCGGUGCUAAUACCGAAUAGUUUGGCGCCUCUCCUGAGGCGCUACGGAAAGACGGUUUCGGCUGUCACUGCAGGAUGGGCCCGCGGCGCAUUAGCUAGUUGGUGGGGAUAACGGCCCACCAAGGCGACGAUGCGUAGCCGACCUGAGAGGGUGACCGGCCACACGGGGACUGAGACACGGCCCAGACUCCUACGGGAGGCAGCAGUAGGGAAUCUUCCGCAAUGGACGCAAGUCUGACGGAGCAACGCCGCGUGAGUGACGAAGGUUUUCGGAUCGUAAAACUCUGUUGUGAGGGAAGAACACGUACCAACUAACUAUUGGUACCUUGACGGUACCUCGCCAGAAAGCCACGGCUAACUACGUGCCAGCCGCCGCAGUAA
rnacentral:rRNA from 1 species